rnacentral:rRNA from 1 species
UGGGUAGUCCGUACGAGCGCACCUUGUCCCUAGUUGCCAGCACUUCGGGUGGGAACUCUAGGGAGACUGCCGGUGAUAAACCGGAGGAAGGUGGGGAUGACGUCAAGUCAUCAUGGCCCUUAUGGGGAGGGCUACACACGUGCUACAAUGGCCGGUACAGAGGGCUGCGAAGCCGCGAGGUGGAGCGAAUCUCAGAAAACCGGUCGUAGUCCGGAUUGCAGUCUGCAACUCGACUGCAUGAAGUCGGAAUCGCUAGUAAUCGCGGAUCAGAACGCCGCGGUGAAUACGUUCCCGGGCCUUGUACACACCGCCCGUCACACCAUGGGAGUGGGCUGUACCAGAAGUAGGUAGUCUAACCUUCGGGAGGACGCUUACCACGGUGUGGUUCAUGACUGGGGUGAAGUCGUAACAAGGUAGCCCUAGGGGAACCUGGGGCUGGAUCACCUCCUUU